UGCCGCGUGCAGGAAGACUGCCCUAUGGGUUGUAAACUGCUUUUACAGAGGAAGAACCCUCCUCACGUGUGGGGAGUUGACGGUACUCUGCGAAUAAGGAUCGGCUAACUCCGUGCCAGCAGCCGCGGUAAUACGGAGGAUCCAAGCGUUAUCCGGAAUCAUUGGGUUUAAAGGGUCCGUAGGCGGGUUUAUAAGUCAGUGGUGAAAGUCUGCAGCUUAACUGUAGAACUGCCAUUGAUACUGUAGAUCUUGAAUCAUUAUGAAGUGGUUAGAAUGUGUAGUGUAGCGGUGAAAUGCAUAGAUAUUACACAGAAUACCGAUUGCGAAGGCAGAUCACUAAUAAUGUAUUGACGCUGAUGGACGAAAGCGUAGGUAGCGAACAGGAUUAGAUACCCUGGUAGUCUACGCCGUAAACGAUGGUUACUAGCUGUCCGGCCUAAUUGAGGGCUGGGUGGUUAAGCGAAAGUGAUAAGUAACCCACCUGGGGAGUACGUUCGCAAGAAUGAAACUCA
rnacentral:rRNA from 1 species